rnacentral:rRNA from 1 species
GAUGAACGCUGGCGGCGUGCUUAACACAUGCAAGUCGAGCGAAGCACUAAAGCGGAUUUCUUCGGAUUGAAGGUUUAGUGACUGAGCGGCGGACGGGUGAGUAACGCGUGGGUAACCUGCCUCAUACAGGGGGAUAACAGUUGGAAACGGCUGCUAAUWCCGCAUAAGCGCACAGUACCGCAUGGUACGGUGUGAAAAACUCCGGUGGUAUGAGAUGGACCCGCGUCUGAUUAGGUAGUUGGUGGGGUAACGGCCUACCAAGCCGACGAUCAGUAGCCGACCUGAGAGGGUGACCGGCCACAUUGGGACUGAGACACGGCCCAAACUCCUACGGGAGGCAGCAGUGGGGAAUAUUGCACAAUGGGGGAAACCCUGAKGCAGCGACGCCGCGUGAGCGAAGAAGUAUUUCGGUA